rnacentral:lncRNA from 1 species
GGGUUGACGGCAAAGAGAGAAGAUGGCAGGGUCUGAUUUUCCAUGGCACCAAGAACGUCCAUUUGACAUUGUGGCUUGGGGAAGUUGUUUUCCCUUCUCCUGACUAAUUCAUGGGUCCAAAUGAGUGAACUGAGCCUGGACACAUGCAGGACACGAGACCUGAGACUAAUGGAUCGAAACACUGGUCGACCGCAGAGGCCGGGGAAACCAAAAGCAAUUUCCUACUCGAUGGUUCUGGCACACACCGUGCCAAGAUGGGCGACAGUGGAGAGGUGUGCGUAACCAGCACCAAAAGUCAACGAGUCACUGAGACAGCUGCUGACUAUUUUAUGCCCUAAUCCAACUACAAUAGAAUAGAAUAAAAGGUGAUUUGUCAAUAAAAACUCUAACAUUACAGGCGUCAGAAAAUUAGAAUAGCGUGACAUUGGCCAAAAAUAGUUCCUGACAACAUUGUGACUGGGACAGAUUAGUUAGGAUCUCAUCUCUUCCCUCUAGGCCUACUCUUGAGCUGACAGAGGUGCGUGCUUUAAAAUCUGAGUUUGGGAUGUUCCUGAACCCAUUGUGUUCUGGGACAGACGAGUUAGUAGUAAGAAGCCUGAUGGAGGUGCGUGGUGCAGGAGUUGUGCAGGCAGCCAGGCACGGCCCACCUUGGCCAGUAUACCAUGAUCAGACUCACCUCCGGCCCAGUUCCACACUAACAAGAGGAUUAUGUCCCAGACACAGAGGCAGGGAGCAAAGGACACAAUCAGACUUAAUUGUAUGGUCCUCUGAGACCAACACCACUAGACAGAGAGAGAGUGAAAGAGAGCGACAGAGCGAAAGAGAGGCACAUAGAGAGAGAGACAGAGGGCGAGUGGGAAAGAGAACGAGAGAGCCAUGUAGAAGUAAAAUAUUUUAAUGUAGAGGACAAUAUAUUUACCACCUGCCAAGACAGAGCUUCAUACUAUAUUGAUGAUAAUAUGUAUUCAGACGCAUCAUCUGUGCUAGAAGCCAUCCACAUGGCAAGGGAGCGAAUGCUGGUAGAAAUGAUUUAUAGAAGAUUUAUAGAAGACAGAGGGUCACUGGUCAUAGAGAUUGAGCCAGAGCUACACUACCGUAACAACACCAUGUAUAUACAUGUAUCACGAGUGAUUGUCCCAGUUCAUGUGUUGUAUAUGUUAUAUGUGAUCUGGAAUUGUGUGAGUUUAUGUGUUUUCUGAUGUACGUAUGUAUGGUUUAGUGCUUGUUUGUGUGCCUAUAGGUUUAGGGCUCUGCAUGCAGGACAGAGAUAAAGGUUGUUUACUUGCUUUAGUGUGUGUGCCUGCGUGUGUCUGAGCGUGUACGUGUGUGUGUCUAAGCGUGUGUGUGCGCGUGUGUCUGAGUGUGUCUGUACCUGCCUGUGCUUAUGUUUUCCCUAGAUACACCGUCCUUUUUAAUCCAUGUCCUUUGGCGACAGUGCGGUUGCCAUGGCAGCAGGGCGAGGAGCCUGUCUACCCCUCAUAGGCACGCCCUACACACACCUGUUGCUAUUAGGCUAAUAGGGGCCGGUGGAGUGGGCUGUGCUGGAGUGGGGUGGGCUGGCCUGCUCCUAGGGGCCAUCUGUACUACUUGCAAGCCUGGGGGUCCCCUGAAAAGAGGGGUCUGGGACUGGGAGAUGUAACUCACACCACACAGAAGAUCUCAGGCCCAGCAGAUGUCUGAAGCAGUGUGCAAAGCUGUGAGAAACACCAAGCCCCAACACACCCUCUUCAGAGCUAAAGCACACCCACCAUCUCUGCUCUUUGCAUAUGAGUCCGGAUAAUUAACGAUGGAGUUGGGCAGGCUGCAGGAAUGUAUACUCCCUAGUCUCAAAGCUUCUCCUGACUGAUAAGAAGACAGGGACUUGCGUGGAGGAGUACUAAAGGUUCCAGACUCAGGCUGGGACGAUAACACCACCUGCCAAGCCACAGAGAUUCAUUGUACAUCCUAGACUCAGGAGGGGGAGGACUUGUCUGGGACAAGGGUACAAACAGAGGUUAUAAAUAUAUGUGCGUGUAUAAUCAUACUUCGUCUUUGCAGCUGUAUGACCCAGUGCGGUUGAAUAAAUCUAGCUCGAGCACUCUUCAGAGUCCGACUGGAAUUUACACCAGAAUCUUGGAACCUAACAGCAUAUUUAAAGAAGCUGACAUAUAUUUAGACACAAGUUAUGAUGCAAUGUCAAUAUGAUCAAACACG